rnacentral:rRNA from 1 species
AUUGAACGCUGGCGGCAUGCCUUACACAUGCAAGUCGAACGACGCUAGGGGCAACUCUAGCGAGUGGCGUACGGGUGAGUAAUGCAUCGGAACGUGCCCUCUCGUGGGGGAUAACCAGUCGAAAGAUUGGCUAAUACCGCAUGAGCUCGAGAGAGGAAAGCGGGGGACCGCAAGGCCUCGCGCGAGAGGAGCGGCCGAUGCCCGAUUAGCUAGUUGGUGGGGUAAUGGCCCACCAAGGCGACGAUCGGUAGCUGGUCUGAGAGGACGACCAGCCACACUGGGACUGAGACACGGCCCAGACUCCUACGGGAGGCAGCAGUGGGGAAUUUUGGACAAUGGGGCAACCCUGAUCCAGCCAUGCCGCGUGUGUGAAGAAGGCCUUCGGGUUGUAAAGCACUUUCGGACGGAACGAAAUCGCGCGGGUGAACAAUCCGCGUGGAUGACGGUACCGUAAGAAGAAGCACCGGCUAACUACGUGCCAGCAGCCGCCGUAA